AAACUGUCGUUUAGUGCGAUAGAUAAGACAGUUAAAUUCUGUCGCAGAAAUGAGCGGUUUAUAACAAAAUGCUUACAUUCUCACUAGGUAUAUAUGUGCUCACUCAGCUGAUAAAUUUGAGAUACACAGGCGCCCUGCAAUGUUACAACUGCUCCAACAUUGUUGACACCGACGAAUGUUUAACAGUAACAGAAUGUCUUGCUGGUCAGUCAUGUUACCAAGACA